GUAGGUGAACCUGCGGAAGGAUCAUUGCAAGAGAGUGUGUUUCGUGGAUGUGAGGGGGCUGUGCAAGCAGCUCUUUCAGUCUGCAAUGUGCGGGGGGACGCGAGUCCCCUGACACUGCGCGUCUUUGUUUGUCAGUUUGGGGAGAGUAAGCAGAAAACUUUUAACAAUGGAUCUCUUGGCUCUU
rnacentral:misc_RNA from 1 species